GAGGGGAGCGCAGGUUCCUGGGCUGUGUCCCCCCACGCCCAGUGCUCCGGAGCCUGCGCUGUUGGAUUCGCAUCCCGGGCCGCGCAGCCCCCU
rnacentral:pre_miRNA from 1 species